rnacentral:lncRNA from 1 species
UAACCAGGACAUACUGCAAGGACAUACAUUCUGGAGAGGGAGUUUCUGGAUUUGAAGAAUUCUAAAACCAAGAAAAGCCUCACUGACUACAUACUAUUUGAAAUCAUGGGCCGAGCGCGGUGGCUGACUCCCAUAAUCCCAGCACUUUGGGAGGCUGAGGCAGGCAGAUCACCUGAGGCUGGGAGUUCGAGACCAGCCUGACCAACAUAGAGAAACCCUGUCACUACUAAAAGUACAAAAUUGGCCGGCCGUGGUGGCACAUGCCUGUAAUCCCAGCUAGUCGGGAGGCUGAGGCAGGAGAAUCGCUUGAACCCGGGAGGAGGAUGUUGCGGUGAACUGAGAUCACGCCCUUGCACUCCAGCCUGGGCAACAAGAGUGAAACUCCGUCUCAAACAACAACAACAACAGCAAAAGAAAUCGUGAUGCAUGAUAAAACAUUUAUAACAUCUCACUGGUUGAAGUCAA